AUGGUCAUUUGUGUUGUGGUAGAAACACUUUCUUUUAUUAGGGUCAGGACGGACAGGCAGAAGCACGAAGCACAGAUACAUAAACUUAUGAUUAUUUGUGUUGUGGUAGAGGCACUUUCUUUUGUUAGGGAUAUUUUCAUUAUUUCUAUUUGUGGCGUUGGCACAAUAACAUGCUACAAACACCCAUCCAGAGUUUCGACGAAUGCGAUGGCAUGCUUCGACGGCCGCGUUGAUGCUUUCAAGUGUGCUUUCACGGCUGCAAUGAUGGCACCACGACACGAUUCUAACACUCGUGCGGUGCUCUGA
rnacentral:rRNA from 1 species